CUAACACAUGCAAGUCGAACGGUAACAGGAAGCAGCUUGCUGCUUCGCUGACGAGUGGCGGACGGGUGAGUAAUGUCUGGGAAGCUGCCUGAUGGAGGGGGAUAACUACUGGAAACGGUAGCUAAUACCGCAUAAUGUCGCAAGACCAAAGAGGGGGACCUUCGGGCCUCUUGCCAUCGGAUGUGCCCAGAUGGGAUUAGCUUGUUGGUGGGGUAACGGCUCACCAAGGCGACGACCCCUAGCUGGUCUGAGAGGAUGACCAGCCACACUGGAACUGAGACACGGUCCAGACUCCUACGGGAGGCAGCAGUGGGGAAUAUUGCACAAUGGGCGCAAGCCUGAUGCAGCCAUGCCGCGUGUAUGAAGAAGGCCUUCGGGUUGUAAAGUACUUUCAGCGGGGAGGAAGGGAGUAAAGUUAAUACCUUUGCUCAUUGACGUUACCCGCAGAAGAAGCACCGGCUAACUCCGUGCCAGCAGCCGCGGUAAUACGGAGGGUGCAAGCGUUAAUCGGAAUUACUGGGCGUAAAGCGCACGCAGGCGGUUUGUUAAGUCAGAUGUGAAAUCCCCGGGCUCAACCUGGGAACUGCAUCUGAUACUGGCAAGCUUGAGUCUCGUAGAGGGGGGUAGAAUUCCAGGUGUAGCGGUGAAAUGCGUAGAGAUCUGGAGGAAUACCGGUGGCGAAGGCGGCCCCCUGGACGAAGACUGACGGUCAGGUGCGAAAGCGUGGGG
rnacentral:rRNA from 1 species